UCGCUUCGCUGGUGUUGCGGGGGGUGACGGCGAAGGUCUCAAGGGCCGUCGUAUUGGCGACGAUCGUCUCGUUGCGGAGCGAG
rnacentral:tRNA from 1 species